UGAUAGUAGCCUUCCCUGCAGAGAUGAACAACACAUUACACCAAAUUACUUGUGAUACCUAACUCAGAAUGGAAAAAGCACACUGACAGAGGGUAAGGUAUACAUGUUUCUCAAUCCUUUCAAUAACACUAUGUAAUCAUGUUUCUUAAUAUUCACUUCACUGUAAAUGAAAUUGUUGACCUCAACCCUAAAACAUGUCAAGGGGAUAACAAGAAAUACAUUGCAUGAUUUGCAUCAAAUAAUUGGAUCCAGCAUUUUUAUAUUUGAUGUAGAAAACUAACCUAACUAUACAAAUCCACGACUUCCAGGAUCAAGAAGAUAUACAUAAGAAUAGAAAUGGUGGAAACUGAGGAGUUUAUUAUAUAGAAACUUGCAGGCACUCUCCAAUGUCUUGACGUAAACAUCUAUCAAGAGAGAUUCAAUGAGAGAAUCCAUACCUAACUUAAUAUUCUUUUUGGUCAUGAAGUACAAGGAAGCUCCAAAGCUACCAGCCAGGAUCAGUCCAGGAACAUCAGCUCCCCCAUACGGCAAAGAAGAAGUUGAAGUUCCAUUGACAUAAGUCAAGGCCAUCAAAGCUCCAUACACACCGG
rnacentral:lncRNA from 1 species